GACGAACGCUGGCGGCGUGCUUAACACAUGCAAGUCGAACGGAAAGGCCCUGCUUUUGUGGGGUGCUCGAGUGGCGAACGGGUGAGUAACACGUGAGUAACCUGCCCUUGACUUUGGGAUAACUUCACGAAACUGGGGCUAAUAUCGUAUAGGAGCUCCUGCUGCAUGGUGGGGGUUGGAAAGUUUCGGCGGUUGGGGAUGGACUCGCGGCUUAUCAGCUUGCUGGUUGGGUAGUGGCUUACCAAGGCUUUGACGGGUAGCCGGCCUGGGAGGGUGGACGGGCACAUUGGGACUGAGGGACGGACCAGACUGCUACGGGAGGCAGCAGGGGGGAAUAUGGCACAGUGGGCGGAAGUCUGUUACGGCGGCGCCGGGUGCGGGAUGACGGCCUUCGGGUUAUAAACCGCUUUCGCCUGUGACGAAGCGUGAGUGACGGUAAUGGGUAAAGAAGCACCGGCUAACUACGUG
rnacentral:rRNA from 1 species